CCAGUAGUCAUACGCUCGUCUCAAAGAUUAAGCCAUGCAUGUGUAAGUAUAAAUAUUUAACUUUGAAACUGCGAAUGGCUCAUUAUAUCAGUUAUAGUUUAUUUGAUGAAAAGUACUACUUGGAUAACCGUAGUAAUUCUAGAGCUAAUACAUGAUAAAAUCCUCGACUUUGAAGAGGUGUAUUUAUUAGAAUGAAACCAAUAGACUUCGGUCUGUUUGUGAGUAAUAAUAACUAAUCGUAUCGCAUGCUUAGGUAGCGAUAUGUCUUUCAAGUUUCUGCCCUAUCAGCUUUGGAUGGUAGUGUAUUGGACUACCAUGGCAGUAACGGGUAACGAAGAAUUUGGGUUCGAUUUCGGAGAGGGAGCCUGAGAGAUGGCUACCACAUCCAAGGAAGGCAGCAGGCGCGUAAAUUACCCAAUCCUGACAUAGGGAGGUAGUGACAAUAAAUCACAAUGCGGAACUAUUAGUUUUGCAAUUGGAUUGAGAACAAUGUACAAAUGUUAUCGAUAAACAAUUGGAGGGCAAGUCUGGUGCCAGC
rnacentral:rRNA from 1 species